CUGGGUCCAACCUCCCACCCGUGUUUAUUUUACCUUGUUGCUUCGGCGGGCCCGCCUUAACUGGCCGCCGGGGGGCUUACGCCCCCGGGCCCGCGCCCGCCGAAGACACCCUCGAACUCUGUCUGAAGAUUGUAGUCUGAGUGAAAAUAUAAAUUAUUUAAAACUUUCAACAACGGAUCUCUUGGUUCCGGCAUCGAUGAAGAACGCAGCGAAAUGCGAUACGUAAUGUGAAUUGCAAAUUCAGUGAAUCAUCGAGUCUUUGAACGCACAUUGCGCCCCCUGGUAUUCCGGGGGGCAUGCCUGUCCGAGCGUCAUUUCUGCCCUCAAGCACGGCUUGUGUGUUGGGCCCCGUCCUCCGAUCCCGGGGGACGGGCCCGAAAGGCAGCGGCGGCACCGCGUCCGGUCCUCGAGCGUAUGGGGCUUUGUCACCCGCUCUGUAGGCCCGGCCGGCGCUUGCCGAUCAACCCAAAUUUUUAUCCAGGUUGACCUCGGAUCAGGUAGGGAUACCCGCUGAACUUAAGCAUAUCAAUAAGCGGAGGAAUACCAAGUGAGGGCCCUCUGGGUCAACCUCCCUCCGAGUUUAUUUUACCUUGU
rnacentral:rRNA from 1 species